CCCAUCGGUACGGAGUCAAUGGGUUAUUAUAUUGAAAAACCCUCCCAUUGGCACUAACUUGACUUGA
rnacentral:snoRNA from 14 species